CUUUAAGCUUUAAAUGAGUUGAUUUUAUUUCCAUAUUGAAUAGCAUAUUAUUUUGUUAUUGUUGUUCAUAUGUGAUCCAAUACAGGUAGAUGGGAAGACUGAGAGUUGAAACAGGAUAAUACUUAACAUGAAGCCAUACGUUCCUUGAGAACAGGCUGUCUCAGAGCCACCUUGGGACUGAAGACUGCAUAGGGAAAGGAAAUGUCAGAGUCUCUGUCUUUCAGAAUAUUGCCAAGAGGAAUGGUCUACAGACUCACCUAGAAUCUUGGGUCCAUGCGAACGUUUGAGCAGUUCGAUAAGGAGACAGAUCAAGAUUCAGAAUGCUACAGAAGUGAAUGGAAUUGUCAUAGGAGAAACGGAAUAGUUGGAAUGAAGAGUAUGUCUCGAAGAAAAGUGUUAAGUUUAAUACAAAACAUGAUGUUUUUAAGAUUUGAAAUAGCCUUAAAGAUUGUGAAGCCAAAUAUCACUUUACAGACAAAGAGACUAAAAUCUUUAGAUUUCAAAGUGGCAUUUUCAAGCCCUGAUAGUUAAUAACAAAUCUAGAAUAAGGAUCUACAAUCUCUGACUCUGAAUCUAGCUCUAUUUACUGCAUUUUAAUAUAUCCUAACUGCAUUUCAUAUGACAAAGAGGCCAUUAGAGAUGUUACAAAGGCAGCUAAAAUAAGGAACUGGGAUAAUGUGCUGCCUAAGACAAGUAGAGAAAGCAAAACAAAUUAGUAUAUUAUGGAGGAAAUAAUAACGUGAGAGAAAUAUAAUAAGACAGAACAAUAGCUUUGGGGGAAAAGUCCAAAAUCCAAAGUGCUAUUAAGAGAGUUUAUAGAAAAAGUAAUCAAGAAAUUGACCUUUGGAAUCAGAAAGACCUACAUUAAGCCAUACUUGAAUAAUACUAGUUUUUAAACUGAGUUGCAAUGUCUUCAUCUGUUAAAUAGUAUAGUGAUAACAUCUACCACAAAUACUGUUGUGAAAAACACAUGGCUAAUAAAUGUACAGUAGAACAUUGGCCCAUAUAGAGUUCUUAAUAAAUGCUAGUUAUAAUUGUUGCAAUUGUAGGCUAAUUUGGAAGCCAGAAGAAUAGCAAUUUUCAAGUAGUACAGCAGUUUAGAAUGUGGAAGUUUAAGAGGUGAGAAUCCCACCAUAAAUUUGUUAGCUAUGACAAGUUUGGAGCAUUGCUAACCCAUCAUGGUCAAGUUGGGUAAAGACACAGUUGUGUUGUUAAUUUUAGAAAAGAGCAGAGAACUUUUUUUUUUUUUUAACCUGGGAUAUAUAUUUUGAAAACAACAAGGAGGAAGACUUUGUAACAUAUUGUAUAACAUAAUAUAAGUUUCAACGUUUCAUCCCUAUUGAUGUUUACCUGAAAAUCUUUAAUUGUAACAAAAAUGCUUUUUGCAAAUCAUGAAAUUAUUAGUACUACUUAAAUGAUCACAUGUUCUAAUAGCUGUCUUUUGGAAUAGAAGUUUUUCAUGUAGCCAAUUCUGAUAUCUAAAGAUCAAAAAUCAUGAGUUUUUUCAGCUCAUAAUUUAUUUUCAGUAUACAAGCGUAUCUUGUAUUGUGCUUCAUUUUAUUGCUCUUUGCAGAUUGCAGAUAAUUGUGUUUUUACAAAUUGUGGCAACCCUGCAUCAAGCAAGUCUAUUGGUUCCAUUUUUUAACAGCAUGUGCUGACUUCCUGUCUCUGUACCACAAAUUGGUAACUCUUGCAAUGUUCCAAACUUUGUUAUUAUUUCUGUUAUGCUGAUCUGUGAUCAGAGAUCUUUGAUGUUACUCUUACAAUUGUUUUGAACACCAUGAACUAUGCCCACUUUUAAGCGCAUUGGCUCACACAAAGAUGAUGUGUGUUCUGACUGCUCCACCAACCAGUAGUUCCUUCUCUCUCACUCUCUUCAGGCCUCCCUAUUCCUUGAGAUACAACAAAAUUGAAAUUAGGCUAAUUAAUUACCUUACCAUGGAGUCUAAGUGUUUCAAGUGAUUAAAAAAAAAAAAAAAAAAAGACAUGCACAUCUCUCACUUGAAAUCGAAAGCUAGAAAUGAUUAAAAUCAGUGAGGAAGGCUUGUCAAAAGCCAAGAGAGGCUGAAAACUGAGCCUCUUACGCCAAACAACCGUAUUGUGCAUGCAGUGGGAAAAUAUUUGAAGAAAAUUAAAAGUGCUAUCCCCAAGAACACACACAUUAUUAUUAUUAUUUUUAAAUGCCUUAUUGCUGAUAUGGAGAAAGUUUUAGUGGCCUGUAUAGAAGAUCAAACCAGUGACAACAUUCCCUUAAGCCAAAUACUAAUCUAGAAUAAGGCCCUAACUCUCUUCAAUUCUAUGAAGGCUGAGAGAGAUGAGGAAGCUGCUGAAGAAAAGUUUGAAACUAGCAGAGGUUGGGUCAUGAGGGUUAAGGAAAGGAGUUAUCUCCAUAAUAAAGAAAUAUAAGGUGAAGCAGCAAGUUAAUCCAGAAGAUGUAACUAAGAUCAUUG
ensembl:lncRNA